rnacentral:misc_RNA from 1 species
GCCACUAGCCAAAAAGCAGUUACUGCUGCCUGAGCUACCAAGAGCACAUGGUGUAUCGCGAACAAGAAAUUUGACAGUACGACCACCACUAAAAUCUAGUAUCUCAAGACACUCAUGCAAAUCUGCAUCAUUUACCAACAUCACCCAUUCCUCCUCCUCAUCAAGAUACUUGAGUUGGAAUGUCUCAGUAUGCAGUUUAAACCUUUUAGCAAUAUCCUCAUAGAGUUGGAAGCACCCUGCUGAAAGAUCAAACUUAAAUCGGAUAGUAUCUUCUUUGUAAGUGGCUUUCACGGUAAUUGUUGACCCAUUAUCACCACAGUUCACUUCAAUUUUAGAAUGCUUCUCUGCACCACGACUGUGAGUGCUUGAUGAGCUACCAUUUAUCAUCGACUCGGACCCGUUGGAUGAAUCUGUCAUGGCUGAAGAACUGGCCUGGUUAUGUUCAAUCACCCCACCAUCACCAUCCAUUUCAUUAUCUUCUUUCAUCUUACUAUCAACAUCACUACCAACAGCCAUGGAAUACGAGCACUGAGAAGUGAAUUGACAGUCAACAUUGUCUAGGGUGUCAUUGUUCAAUCCCCACCUCCUACAUCCUCCUUUUGAAAGAAAAGGUCCCAAUGAUGCAUUUCCGGAAUCAGUCAACGGCAGCUUGGAUUCAUAACAAUAUCCAGACACUUCAAUACUUGAUUUAGUCACUUCCUUGAAAGAGGAAGUAUUGACAUGAUUUGAUUGGCUGAGUUGGUUUCCAUCAGCAAAAAAGUCUUCCUCCAUUUUCACCAUCGAAUUCUCUUUGUCAUUGCCUGAAGACGAGGGUACAGAGACAGUAUCCUGGAAAACAGAAGUAGGAUUUUUGACGGAGACAUCUUUGAAUGGGAAAAAUAUGCUUCUCUGUGCGUCAAAAUCUUGGGUGAUUGAGCCAGCUGGAACUAAACCUCCACUUGCUGGAUCGAACUUCAGUCCCCCUUCUACACCUUGGACAGAUUCAAGCACUGUUUGUAUCUUUUUCAAAGACCGGUUGACUUUGUUUAUCUUACGGGAUGGCCAUCUAGAUAUCCCAUGUUGUCG